ACACGCAUGACACACUGCAUAUCAAUAAGCGGAGGAAAAGAAACUAACUAGGAUUCCCUCAGUAACGGCGAGUGAAGCGGGAAGAGCUCAAAUUUGAAAUCUUCAAGGUUCUACCUUGACGAAUUGUAGUUUAUAGAAGUGUUUUCUGUUAGUAGAGUUGGUAAAAGUUCUUUGGAAUAGGACAUCAUAGAGGGUGAGAAUCCCGUAUUUGUACCAUUCUUUCUAACUUUGUGAUACACUUUCAACGAGUCGGAUUGUUUGGGAAUGCGGUCCAAAAUGGGUGGUAAAUUUCAUCUAAAGCUAAAUAUUGGCGAGAGACCGAUAGCGAACAAGUACCGUGAGGGAAAGAUGAAAAGAACUUUGAAAAGAGAGUUAAACAGUACGUGAAAUUGUCGAAAGGGAAGCGUUCGACACCAGUGUUGUUUUUCCGAAAAUCAAUUACGAAUGUUUUAGUUUUUGAGAAGUUAUGACUUCAUCGGCUUGCUUCUCUCUUUAUGAAACUUUCUUAAUGCACUUUUCGGUUAACAAGUCAACAUCAAUUUCUUUUGUUGUAAAAGGGUAUGAGGAAGGUGGCUUUCUUUUCGGAGAAAGUGUUUAUAGCCUUGUAGCCUCUGCAAUCGGAGAGAUUGAGGUCUGCAGCGUAGAUCCUUCGGGGUUAGAUACAUUUGUGCUAAGUUAUAGCUUUUCAUAGACAACUUGUUGACUAUGUUUAGUCUUGUAGCUUACUCGCUUAUGCUAUUUUACCUACGCUUAGGAUGUUGACUGAUAUGUAGUCGU
rnacentral:rRNA from 1 species